CUGUACUGAAUUUCCUUGAUGAGCUAGAGCAGAUUACGUGAUCGUGGAUGUGAUUGAAAUGGGGAGCUUCCUCUUCAUCUUGACAGUCGGAAAGUGGAUAAUCUCAUCUUUCUCAGCUACCCAUCUCCAAGAAAAAGGUCUUUGCAGAACUAAAGGAUCUUGGCAUCUUGCCAAUUAAAUUACAUUAGCAGAGUUAGUAUCACCAACGCUCAUCGUCAUUGGGAGAGUAGUUGCACUUUCCACCAUUGUGGCCACAUACUUUGAACGAAGUGGCUGCUCUUGUCGGAGCCAUAUAGACACAAUUGAGUAAUGCAACAAGUACCUUCAUCAUCCACUUUGACUUCAGAAAUUUGGCUCAAUGCUCAUAAUUUUCAUAAUUUGGACUUCCAGCUCAAAUUCAAAUCAAUUUGAAAGGUGGACGACGAUCUUGCGUAAGAUUGAAGUGAGUUAGCUGCUUCUUUUUCGGAGGCAGAUACUGUUUCGAGGAGCUAAUUACUAUUUACAAACAGUGCUGGGUUGUGCUAGAACAUUGUUUGAAGCUUCCUUGUGCGGGAAGAUUGAAUUUCAUGCACUGAAGUGAAAGAGGGAGCUGGGUUUUUGUUCACUGGCAGACAGAAAAAACGAGCCUUUUGUUCUGAGGUUGUUUCAAUCUAAACCUAGGUAUUAGCAUAAGGGUUCUUAGGUGGAACAAGACGUGUAAUAGGAGCCUUGAUUGAGUCAUGUUGACGAAUGAAAAUUUUUGCAAAUUCUUUCAAUGAUUUGAUGUUG